rnacentral:tRNA from 1 species
CAAAGAGUAGUUUAAUUAAGAAUACUAGCUUUGGGAGUUAGUGGUAGAGGUUAAAAUCCUUUCUCUUUGA